rnacentral:rRNA from 1 species
GGGGGAUAUUGCACAAUGGAGGAAACUCUGAUGCAGCGACGCCGCGUGAGGGAAGACGGUCUUCGGAUUGUAAACCUCUGUCUUGGGGGAAGAAAAUGACGGUACCCAAAGAGGAAGUUCCGGCUAAUUAC